UGGAGGUAACUCUCACCAUCAUCCUACAGAGCAAGUGGGAGAAUAUAUUCAUUAUUGUUUGCAAAACAGUCAGACUUCAUAACAGUACGUACCACAGAAAAGCCUGUAAAGAAGUUGAUAUCUUCAUCCUCACUUCAGGAUUUAUAGCACAGUCAUAGCAUGUAUCCUGAUGAGGAGGUAGCACAAUGUCCAUAAUCACACAACAGGCCAAGGGCAUGCCUAGGUAGAACAGGGCAGCUUGUAUGGUUUCCUCUAUGUCUCCCUGGAGAUCAUGGUUUCAAUAAAUUAGUUUCAUGUGGUUCUUA